AUAGUACUUGCUGCUGCUGGAGGUAAGUUUAAAUUUCUACGACUAUUUUAAACAGUGAUAUGCUUAUCAGUUUGAUCCUGUUGGGAGAUAUCUUUAGAGUUUUCAUUUACAGAGCAAAUUGUUUAGUAUGCUGGGUAAGGGCAAUGCGGAACACUGAAACUGGACUUCCCCCGUCUUCUCUUUACUUAGUAGAGUUUUUUAAUAGGAAAGCUUAGUGACCCUCUAGUAUAUAAGUGUACAUACAUAAUGGAAUUUACUUGCAAGGAAAGGGCAGAUGGGUGAGCUGGAAGAUAAUGACAGUGGAAGAUAGUGUUCAACAGUUUGGGAAUCUCUUGAGAUUUUAAAUUAUUUCUUGAGAACUAGCUUCAUCCUUGGUCAGGCAUGGCCCGAGUAUGUUACGUUGUUUAUUCAUUCUUUGAUCUGUUCGUUCAUUCAGUAGAUCUGCUAAUUACUGAGAAGGGGAAGUAUACAAGGGAUUUUGAGACUAUUUAAUGGGAAUUUGAACAUGAAAGUGGCAUGAGGACAAGGCCUCCUUGGAGGAACAG
rnacentral:lncRNA from 1 species